rnacentral:lncRNA from 10 species
ACAAACCAAUCAGCAUGCACGCCUCCGUUCUGAGCUCAUAUAAAGCCCCAGAUUCAGCCACACUAGAGAGAGACUGGCUGCCUUUGGGCGGAGAGGGGAGUGGUCUCUUCUGGUGGGAAGAGACUACUCGACUUCAGAGAAGGGGUUCCCUCUUGGGUGCCUUCUCUGCUGAGAGCUGUCACUCAGUAAAACUCUCCUCACCCUUGGGUUGCCAGCAUAACCUCAUUCUUCUUGGAUGCAGGACAAGAACUCAGGACCCGCUGAACACAGAAAAAUUCCCUGUUAUUGGAUGGGCAU